rnacentral:lncRNA from 1 species
ACUUCAUGGAGGAGGUGACCGGUAAAUGCAUUCGCCUUUCCACAGUCAGAUUUGAAAGCAGUUUCCAGACUAGAGGGAUAAGGAAGUUUUCUUCAAGAUUUCAUCAUGAAGAUGAAGGAGAAAGAAAAGUUCAUGAAGAUGAAGGAGAAAGAAAAGAUAAGGAGUAAGG